CAGGCUUGCUGGAGCCCCCCAGCGGCGCCUGGGCGUUCGCCGGAUGGUGACGUGCCCGACACCGUGAACAACGAGGGGCUUUU
rfam:Martelella endophytica strain YC6887, complete genome.